GAAAAAAAAAAAAGAAGAAGAAGAGAGAGAGACUAGAAAAAUAGAGGGAGAGAGAUCUCCCCUUCCCCGGAUCACACAACACAAAGCGGAGGCUUUACGUGACGCCUCCUCCUGCUCCGCUGUGCCGAAAAGACUGGCUUCAGAGAGAGACAGAGAGGUGAGGAGAGUGCUCUGCUAAGAUAUUGCACUAGAAGGGGGUGGGCAGGCUCCUUUACUCGAUACUCAGGUACGGCCUUAUGGGAACUUCAUGAAACUCUCUCUUUAUUGUUUAUGGGAAGUCCAUGUGGAGGGACUGCUGUUCCUCAGGAGCUCUGAGAGUAGUCUGAUUAUUGGGUGGUUUGGUCUAAUGGGAAAAGAGUACAAUGGAUCUCCCAAGAUGCAUCAGUUGGGAUCCAGAAGGGAGCGCCUUACUUGGAUCUUGGGCUUGAGUGGUCUCUGCGUUCUGUUUUACAUGCUUGGUGCUUGGCAGAACACCAUCACCCCAUCCACAUCCAAUCCCAUUUCCUCCAUUGUGUCAAAAUGCAAUGGCCCCACCACCCAAUCAUCCUCCUCAGGUUCCAGCCUUGAUUUCCAAGCUCACCACCAAGUAGGCUUCAAUGAAUCCUCACUUUCCACCGAGAAAUUCCCCUCUUGUGACUUGAAAUACAGUGAGUUCACCCCUUGUCAAGACCCAAGGAGAGCGCGGAAGUUUGUUAAGGCGAUGCUGAAGUAUCGCGAGCGGCACUGCCCUCAGAAAGAAGAGUUUCUCCGAUGCUUAAUCCCUGCGCCACCAAAGUACAAGAACCCAUUCAAAUGGCCGCAGAGUAGAGACUAUGCUUGGUAUGAUAACAUUCCUCAUAGAGAGCUCAGCAUCGAAAAAGCUGUUCAAAACUGGAUCCAAGUUGAAGGCAGCCGAUUUAGGUUCCCUGGUGGUGGCACAAUGUUCCCAAGGGGUGCCGAUUCUUACAUCGAUGAUAUUAAUGCUCUCAUCCCAUUAACCAAUGGAAACAUUAGAACUGCAAUUGAUACUGGAUGUGGAGUUGCGAGCUGGGGGGCUUAUCUUCUGAAUAGGAACAUUCUGGCCAUGUCAUUUGCUCCGAGAGAUUCGCACGAGGCACAGGUGCAGUUUGCAUUGGAACGGGGAGUCCCAGCAAUGAUAGGUGUGAUGGCAACAGAACGAAUUCCAUAUCCUGCUAGAGCUUUCGACAUGGCUCAUUGCUCUCGAUGUUUGAUCCCUUGGGAAAAAUAUGAUGGCCUGUAUCUAAUUGAAGUGGAUAGAGUUUUGAGACCGGGAGGCUAUUGGAUCCUCUCAGGCCCUCCAAUAAAUUGGAAGAAACACUAUCGAGGAUGGGAGAGGACCCAAGAGGAUCUGAAACAUGAACAAGAUGCAAUUGAGGACUUAGCAAAGCGUCUUUGCUGGAAGAAAGUGAUUGAGAAAGGUGAUCUUGCAAUUUGGCAAAAACCCAUCAACCACAUACAAUGCAUUCAAAACCGGAAGGUCUAUAAAACACCACAUAUAUGCAGGAAUGACAAUCCAGACGCUGCCUGGUAUAAGAAAAUGGAGACUUGCAUCACCCCAUUACCAGAGGUGAGUAGCUCGGAAGAAGUCGCGGGUGGGAUGUUGGAGAAAUGGCCAGAAAGGGCAUUUGCUAUUCCACCAAGAAUAAGCAGGGGAUCCAUCCCGGGCAUCACUGCUGAGAAAUUCCAGGAAGACAACAAUAUGUGGAAGGAGCGGUUGGCACGCUACAAGAAGAUCAUUCCACCUCUGACCGAGGGGCGAUAUCGAAAUGUUAUGGACAUGAAUGCCAACUUGGGGGGGUUUGCAGCAGCUCUGGUGAAGUACCCUGUGUGGGUGAUGAAUGUGGUACCUGCUGACACACAGCAGGACACACUUGGUGUUAUCUAUGAGCGAGGUUUUAUUGGUACCUACCAGGACUGGUGUGAAGCUUUCUCGACAUAUCCAAGGACUUAUGACCUCAUCCAUGCCGAUGGUGUGUUCAGCAUUUAUCAGGAUAGGUGUGACAUUACAUACAUUCUUUUGGAGAUGGAUAGGAUACUGAGGCCAGAAGGAACAGUGAUCUUUAGGGAUACAGUGGAUGUCCUGGUGAAGGUCCAGGCCAUAACAAAUGGAAUGAGAUGGAAGAGUCAGAUCAUGGAUCAUGAGAGCGGACCCUUCAACCCUGAGAAGAUCCUGGUGGCUGUCAAGACUUACUGGACUGGCGGGCCUGCCAACCAGAAGUAAAUAAUUCUCUUUGCUUCUGCUGCUCUGGUAAGUCCAGGGUUGCGCUAAUAUUUGAGAGCAAACCUAUCAGCAGUCUUAGAUGAUGUUGAUGUAUGGAAUUCUUUGGAACCCUGUACAUAGAAGAAGGGUUUUGUGGGUAAUACAUGGCAAGAGUUGGCUGGUUGGUGAUAUCGAAAGACAAGGUUAAGGUGCCUUUCCACAGUGAAAUCUUUGUGGAGUGAGAUAUGCUGUUGUUGAAGUUAGACUCAGACCUGUUGAGCUAAUCAUUUGAAGAUGAUGAUAUAUGUUGGAAUGAUGCGCCACAUGUAAGACUAAAUCAUGAUCUAGGGACUGGCCUUUUUUUGUGAGAAGGGAGGGGAAGAAAGCUUUACAGGAAGUUACUACAAAAAGUUUUGAUAGCGGUUUCGCAUAUGUGUUGUGACAUAUUAAUGUUAUAGAGUUAUCUUACUGCUUAUAACA